rnacentral:rRNA from 1 species
GAUGAACGCUGGCGGCGUGCCUAAUACAUGCAAGUCGAGCGAACGGACGAGAAGCUUGCUUCUCUGAUGUUAGCGGCGGACGGGUGAGUAACACGUGGAUAACCUACCUAUAAGACUGGGAUAACUUCGGGAAACCGGAGCUAAUACCGGAUAAUAUUUUGAACCGCAUGGUUCAAAAGUAAAAGACGGUCUUGCUGUCACUUAUAGAUGGAUCCGCGCUGCAUUAGCUAGUUGGUAAGGUAACGGCUUACCAAGGCAACGAUGCAUAGCCGACCUGAGAGGGUGAUCGGCCACACUGGAACUGAGACACGGUCCAGACUCCUACGGGAGGCAGCAGUAGGGAAUCUUCCGCAAUGGGCGAAAGCCUGACGGAGCAACGCCGCGUGAGUGAUGAAGGUCUUCGGAUCGUAAAACUCUGUUAUUAGGGAAGAACAUAUGUGUAAGUAACUGUGCUCAUCUUGACGGUACCUAAUCAGAAAGCCACGGCUAACUACGUG